rnacentral:rRNA from 1 species
AGUGAACGCUGGCGGUAGGCCUAACACAUGCAAGUCGAACGGCAGCACAGUAAGAUCUUGCUCUUACGGGUGGCGAGUGGCGGACGGGUGAGGAAUACAUCGGAAUCUACUUUUUCGUGGGGGAUAACGUAGGGAAACUUACGCUAAUACCGCAUACGACCUACGGGUGAAAGCAGGGGAUCUUCGGACCUUUCGCGUUUGUAUGAGCCGAUGUCGGAUUAGCUAGUUGGUGAGGUAAAGGCCCACCAAGGCGACGAUCCGUAGCUGGUCUGAGAGGAUGAUCGGCCACACUGGAACUGAGACACGGUCCAGACUCCUACGGGAGGCAGCAGUGGGGAAUAUUGGACAAUGGGCGCAAGCCUGAUCCAGCCAUACCGCGUGGGUGAAGAAGGCCUUCGGGUUGUAAAGCCCUGUUGUUGGGAAAGAAAAGCAGCAGGUGAAUACCCCGCUGUUCUGACGGUACCCAAAGAAUAAGCACCGGCUAACUUCGUG